GGGUUAAGUCCGUAACCGAGCGCAACCCUUGUCCUUAGUUACCAGCACGUUAUGGUGGGCACUCUAAGGAGACUGCCGGUGACAAACCGGAGGAAGGUGGGGAUGACGUCAAGUCAUCAUGGCCCUUACGGCCUGGGCUACACACGUGCUACAAUGGUCGGUACAAAGGGUUGCCAAGCCGCGAGGUGGAGCUAAUCCCAUAAAACCGAUCGUAGUCCGGAUCGCAGUCUGCAACUCGACUGCGUGAAGUCGGAAUCGCUAGUAAUCGUGAAUCAGAAUGUCACGGUGAAUACGUUCCCGGGCCUU
rnacentral:rRNA from 1 species